GAAUUUUCCUCUCCUUCUUCUCUAAACCAUUUCUCAUCCCAAAACUUCCAUUUUCCACCAAAAUCAUGAAGGAAUCUUGGAUAUUUUGAGGAUUAAGCUAAGAUUCUAUCUAUAGCAACAAUAAUCAAGAUAUUGAGCGACUUUGGCUUGGAGAAGUAGUGGACUAAGGAAAUAGCAACGGGCAAGAUAAUUUGAUUAUUGAAACAAAAUUGGAUUUAAGCGAUCGAGGUACUCAGUAGAUCAAGGUUGACCCGAGCUUCCAUUCUUGAUCCGGAAAGCUCGCUCUUUUGACAUGUACUCAGUAGAUCAAGGUUGACCCGAGCUUCCAUUCUUGAUCCGGAAAGCUCGCUCUUUUGACAUGUACAGUUUCUGUCUUUUGCUCUAGCGCUGCAGUAGAUAGUCAGGCUAGUUUAUUUUUGUCGAGGUCUAUAGCGGUAUGGUUGUAUUUUGGGUUAUCACCGCUUUUUGUUAAUAGUUUUUGAUAGGUCUCGUUUCUGGGAAUAAACAAUUAUCAGAGGUAGUUUUAGAUUAACUGUUUAACUUACAAAUGAUGAUUGAUGAUAUUUAUAUAAUGGCUGUUAAGUUG